CCAAUCGGGCCACAAGGCCGUAGAAAAGGCCCUUGGGGCCAAUAUGAAAAGUGGCCCCAAGGACUUUUUCUCCGGCCUUGUGGCCCGAUUGG